CUGCUCUUUCACUAGCCAUCACUCUGCUCUUUCACUAGCCAUCACUCUGCUCUUUCACUAGCCAUCACUCAGCUCUUUCCACUAGCCAUCAAUUUGUUCUUUCACUAGCCAUCACUCUGCUCUUUCACUAGCCAUCACUCUGCUCUUUCACUAGCCAUAGCUCUGCUCUUUCACUAGCCAUAACUCUGCUCUUUCACUAGCCAUAACUCUGCUCUUUCACUAGCCAUCACUCUGCUCUUUCACUAGCCGUCACUAGCCAUAACUCGGCUCUCUCACUAGCCGUCACUGUGCUCUUUCAUUAGCCAUCACUAGGUCUUUCACUAGCCGUCACUCUGC